CCCUUAGAUGUUCUGGGUCGCACGCGCGCUACACUGAUGCAUUCAACGAGCCUAUCCUUGACCGACAGGUCCGGGUAAUCUUUGAAUCUGCAUCGUGACGGGGAUAGAUUAUUGCAAUUAUUAAUCUUCAACGAGGAAUGCCUAGUAGGCGCAAGUCAUCAGCUUGCGUCGAUUACGUCCCUGCCCUUUGUACACACCGCCCGUCGCUCCUACCGAUUGGGUGUGCUGGUGAAAUGUUCGGAUCGGCCGUUUGUCGCGGUUUCCGCGGCUCGUGGCUGAGAAGUUCAUUAAACCCUCCCACCUAGAGGAAGGAGAAGUCGUAACA
rnacentral:rRNA from 1 species